UACGAAGGGGGCUAGCGUUGCUCGGAAUGACUGGGCGUAAAGGGCGCGUAGGCGGCAUGUACAGUCAGAAGUGAAAUUCCUGGGCUCAACCUGGGGACUGCUUUUGAUACGUGCAAGCUAGAGUGAGGAAGAGGGUUGUGGAAUUUCCAGUGUAGAGGUGAAAUUCGUAGAUAUUGGAAAGAACACCGGUGGCGAAGGCGGCAACCUGGUCCUUAACUGACGCUGAGGCGCGAAAGCGUGGGGAGCAAACAGG
rnacentral:rRNA from 1 species